AACGAACGCUGGCGGCAUGCCUAACACAUGCAAGUCGAACGAGAUCUUCGGGUCUAGUGGCGCACGGGUGCGUAACGCGUGGGAAUCUGCCCUUGGGUUCGGAAUAACUUCGGGAAACUGAAGCUAAUACCGGAUGAUGACGUAAGUCCAAAGAUUUAUCGCCCAAGGAUGAGCCCGCGUAGGAUUAGCUAGUUGGUGAGGUAAAGGCUCACCAAGGCGACGAUCCUUAGCUGGUCUGAGAGGAUGAUCAGCCACACUGGGACUGAGACACGGCCCAGACUCCUACGGGAGGCAGCAGUGGGGAAUAUUGGACAAUGGGCGAAAGCCUGAUCCAGCAAUGCCGCGUGAGUGAUGAAGGCCUCCGGGUUGUAAAGCUCUUUUACUCGGGACGAUAAUGACGGUACCGAGAGAAUAAGCCCCGGCUAACUCCGUGCCAG
rnacentral:rRNA from 1 species